CCUACGGGUGGCAGCAGUGAGGAAUAUUGGUCAAUGGACGAGAGCCUGAACCAGCCAAGUCGCGUGAAGGAUGACUGCCCUAUGGGUUGUAAACUUCUUUUAUAUGGGAAUAAAAUGUUCCACGUGUGGGAUUUUGUAUGUACCCUAUGAAUAAGGAUCGGCUAACUCCGUGCCAGCAGCCGCGGUAAUACGGAGGAUCCGCGCGUUAUCCGGAUUUAUUGGGUUUAAAGGGAGCGUAGGUGGAUUGUUAAUGCAGUUGUGAAAGUGUUCGGCUCAACCGUAAAAUUGCAGUUGAAACUGGCAGUCUUGAGUACGGGAGAGGAGGGCGGAAUUCGUGGUGUAGCGGUGAAAUGCUUAGAUAUCACGAAGAACUCCGAUUGCGAAGGCAGCUCGCUGGACUGCAACUGACACUGAGGCUCGAAAGUGUGGGUAUCAAACAGGAUUAGAUACCCUUGUAGUC
rnacentral:rRNA from 1 species